UACGGGGGGAGCAAGCGUUGUUCGGAUUUACUGGGCGUAAAGGGCGCGUAGGCGGCACCGCAAGUCGACUGUGAAAUCUCCGGGCUUAACUCGGAAAGGUCAGCCGAUACUGCAGGGCUAGAGUGCAGAAGGGGCAACUGGAAUUCUCGGUGUAGCGGUGAAAUGCGUAGAUAUCGAGAGGAACACCUGCGGCGAAGGCGGGUUGCUGGGCUGACACUGACGCUGAUGCGCGAAAGCUAGGGGAGCGAACGGG
rnacentral:rRNA from 1 species